CGCUGAUCUCAAAAAUGCCGAAAUCGGAUUCAGUGCUCAGCAAGAUAAGGGGCAAUCCUUACUUCUGUCUCCUUCUGCUCUGCCUUCCAGGCGUGCAGUCCGAUAUGCAGCUGGAACAGCCCGAGUCAGCGAUGGUGAAGCCCGGACAGUCCCACAGACUGACCUGUGCAGUCAGUGGGUUCAGCCUCAACGACUAUAACAUGCACUGGGUGAGACACGUAUCAGGGAAAGUGCUGGAAUGGGUGGCUGUUGUAUAUUAUGACGGUAACAAAGACUACGCGCCUGGAUUCGAAGGCCGAUUCGAGGUUUCCAAGGACAGCAGCACCGUUUAUCUGCAAAUAAACAACCUGAUACUGGACGACACGGCCACCUAUUACUGUGCGAGAGACACAGUGAGAGAGAUCUGGAGUAGACCCCGACAAAAACUCAGUGAAAUUGCCGACCGGUAG